rnacentral:rRNA from 1 species
CACCAGACUCCUACGGGAGGCAGCAGUGGGGAAUAUUGCACAAUGGGGGAAACCCUGAUGCAGCGACGCCGCGUGAGCGAUGAAGUAUUUCGGUAUGUAAAGCUCUAUCAGCAGGGAAGAAAAUGACGGUACCUGACUAAGAAGCCCCGGCUAACUACGUGCCAGCAGCCGCGGUAAUACGUAGGGGGCAAGCGUUAUCCGGAUUUACUGGGGGUAAAGGGAGCGUAGACGGUCCUGCAAGCCAGAUGUGAAAGCCCGGGGCUCAACCCCGGGACUGCAUUUGGAACUGUAAGGCUAGAGUGUCGGAGAGGCAGGCGGAAUUCCUAGUGUAGCGGUGAAAUGCGUAGAUAUCAGGAGGAACACCGGCGGCGAAGGCGGCCUGCUGGACCGCGACUGACGUUGAGGCUCGAAAGCUUGGGGAGCGAACAGGAUUAGAUACCCUAGUAAG